rnacentral:rRNA from 1 species
AUACGGAGGAUCCGAGCGUUAUCCGGAUUUAUUGGGUUUAAAGGGAGCGCAGGCGGAGAUGCAAGCGUGACGUCAAAUUUCGGGGCUCAACCCCGUCUCGCGUCGCGAACUGCGUCCCUUGGUUGCGGGAAGGGGAGGCGGAACUCGGGGUGUAGCGGUGAAAUGCAUAGAUAUCACGAAGAACUCCGAUCGCGAAGGCAGCCUUCCGGCCCGUCAACGACGCUCAUGCUCGAAGGUGCGGGUAUCAAACAGGAUUAGAUACCCUGGUAGUCCGCACAGUAAACGAUGGACACCCGCGGUUUGGCCUAUAUGGCUGAGCCGCCAAGCGAAAGCGUUAAGUGUCCCACCUGGGGAGUACGCCGGCAACGGUGAAACUCAAAUGAAUUGACGGGG